CUAAGAAUCUUCCGCAAUGGGGGGAACCCUGACGGAGCGACGCCGCGUGAACGAAGAAGGCCGUGAGGUUGUAAAGUUCUUUUCUCGGAGAAGAAUAAAGUAGCGAGGGAAUGCGCUACAGAUGACAUUACCCGAGGAAUAAGCCCCGGCUAAUUACGUGCCAGCAGCCGCGGUAACACGUAAGGGGCGAGCGUUGUUCGGAUUUAUUGGGCGUAAAGGGCGUGUAGGCGGUUUUGUAAGCCUGGUGUGAAAGGCUCCGGCUUAACUGGAGUUUGCGCUGGGAACUGCAAGACUAGAGUUCAGGAGGGGAAGCUGGAAUUCCUGGUGUAGGGGUGAAAUCUGUAGAUAUCAGGAAGAACACCGGUGGCGAAGGCGAGCUUCUGGCCAUGAACUGACGCUGAGGCGCGAAAGCGUGGGGAGCGAACA
rnacentral:rRNA from 1 species